GCUUGGGUAGCUCAGUUGGUAGAGCAUUCGCCUGAAGAGCGAAGGGUCGGCGGUUCAAGCCCGCCCCCAAGCACAA
rnacentral:tRNA from 1 species